CUCGAAAAACAAUCAAACAAGAUAAUACCAUCUGGUUUCAUUUGAGUGUAAAAUAGUAUAACUGAUGAUGAUGAUUCAUUUAUUACACAUUCGAAAAACUAUCGAUAGUCGAUGGUACAAAAAAAAAAAAUUGUUUCAUCCAAAAUCUAGUUACUAAAACAUGAAUCGAUUACAAAAUAUUAUUGAUUUUUUUUUCGGGACAAAAUUGUUAUCGAUUUGGCUCAUUCAUUAUUAUCAUUAUCGAACGGCAUCCAAUUUUGAUAUCCGACCAAUGAAGAGAUAUGUGUGUAUGUCGCUGCAAAAACUAGCCACUUUGAUCCAUAAAUGACCACACAAACAUGGUCAUCAUAAUGUUUCAUGGUAUAUCCAUUAGUGUUUCGAAAAAAAUAUCAAUUAUGUGACAAAGCUUAUUAAAACUAUCAAUUUAAACCAUAUAUAUAACAACAACAACAAUUCCAAAGAUGAUCCCGAAUCCAUUCAAAUAACGUCAACGAAGGAAAUUGAGAUAAACACUGGAAGAAAUAAAAAUCUCAGAAAAUAUACUGGUUGGUUCCACACAUUUUUCUUUUCACGUCCAUUGCUUUAUCUGCUGUACGCGUGUGGAUUGAUAAUCGAAGACUAAUAUAAAUCACAAAUCAAGAAGAAAUUUGAAAAAUGAAUAAAGGAUAUAUAUUCAAUUUUCGGUCAAUUGAAAAAAAAUGGUUUGCUUUCCUGA